rnacentral:rRNA from 1 species
AUUGAACGCUGGCGGAAUGCUUUACACAUGCAAGUCGAACGGCAGCACGGACUUCGGUCUGGUGGCGAGUGGCGAACGGGUGAGUAAUGUAUCGGAACGUGCCCAGUCGUGGGGGAUAACGUAGUGAAAAUUACGCUAAUACCGCAUACGAUCUAUGGAUGAAAGCGGGGGAUCGCAAGACCUCGCGCGAUUGGAGCGGCCGAUAUCAGAUUAGGUAGGUGGUGGGGUAAAGGCCCACCAAGCCAACGAUCUGUAGCUGGUCUGAGAGGACGACCAGCCACACUGGAACUGAGACACGGUCCAGACUCCUACGGGAGGCAGCAGUGGGGAAUUUUGGACAAUGGGCGAAAGCCUGAUCCAGCCAUUCCGCGUGCAGGAUGAAGGCCCUCGGGUUGUAAACUGCUUUUGUACAGGACGAAAAGGUUUCUACUAAUACUAGGAGCUCAUGACGGUACUGUAAGAAUAAGCACCGGCUAACUACGUGUCAGCCGCCGCGGUAA